rnacentral:rRNA from 1 species
UAGGGAAUAUUGCACAAUGGGCGAAAGCCUGAUGCAGCAACGCCGCGUGCGCGAAGAAGGUCUUCGGAUCGUAAAGCGCUUUUCGGGGAGAUGAGGAAGGACAGUAUCCCCGGAAUAAGGCUCGGCUAACUACGUGCCAGCAGCCGCGGUAAAACGUAGGAGCCAAGCGUUAUCCGAAUUCACUGGGCGUAAAGCGCGUGCAGGCGGCCUGGUAAGUUGGAUGUGAAAUCUCCUGGCUCAACUGGGAGAGGCCGUUCAAUACUGUCAGGCUAGAGGGCGACAGAGGGAGGUAGAAUUCCCGGUGUAGUGGUGAAAUGCGUAGAUAUCGGGAGGAAUACCAGAGGCGAAGGCGACCUCCUGGGUCGUACCUGACGCUCAGAUGCGAAAGCUAGGGGAGCGA